GGUCACGUAGUGCAAUGGCAACCUUAAUCUACCUAUUGAAUAAGUUCUCGGUUCAAAUCCGAGCGUGACCA